rnacentral:lncRNA from 1 species
GCAAUCGUCCCGGGGGGAAGCAGAGCUCUGAGGGAAAGAGAGGAGAGGAUGUAGGAGAGAAAAUGGCAAUGACACUUUGUAGGGCAGGCAUUUGCUAAGAGGUGGGAAGGGAAAGGAAAACGAAUAGAAGAACAUAGGCAGAAAAAGUAAAAGAAAGUGCAAACAGAGGGUAAACAGGACGUCAGAAGAAGGAAGAGAGUUGCAGGGGGGAAAGAAGGCAACAGAAACAACAGUAGGUUGAUUUGUCACCAUGACAACAGAAGCAGGCUCUGAGACGGAGGUGAAGGAGAAAGCUGAGGAGUCAGCCGCUGAGCCCGACCAAUCGGAGAAGGCCACGGAAGAUUCCCAGGAAGUAGCAAACGCUGAAGUAGAGGAGAAGGAAAAAGCAAAGGUGAAGGAAAAAGAGGAGAAGGAAGGCAAAGGAAUAUCUCGAUACCUGCCAACAUGGCUUAAGAAGCAGAAGUCUCAAAGCCAGACCUCCCCAACAAAGGAGGCCCCCCCUACAGAGGAACCUGUUAGCAAGGUGACACAGGAAGAGGAAGGGCCUGCCCCAGAAGUGAAUGGUCACGCUGAGGAAGUAGAAGAGAAGGAGGAAGUCAAGUCUGAGCAAGUGAAGGAAAAAGAAGCAGAAACUCAUUCCAACGCCAGUGCAGACACUGAGGUACUGCUCACGGGUUCACUACACCACUCCAUAGCAUAUGCUUUAAAGUAGAGUCAGAGAACAAGA